GCCCAGAGUACCAAAGGGGCUACAACUGUCACAACGGCUUCUAAUAAUGGGAGAAAAAGAACAGAAAGGGCUGAGUUCCUGAGCAGGAGCUGGAAUCGCCCAGCGCAGCAUUACGCCGCCUCUGAAACACGGCGGAUCACUGUGCGACUGACUGCUCCCUGUGCAGAACUCGAGAGGCAGCAUACGCAAUACAGGGAACAUGCCAAAAAAAAAGUGGAAGAGUUCAUCAUUUUCUGCUGUGGAUUUGAGCCUGCAGCAGACCCGUGCACCCAGAGAGUAAUGAAGCCUCCUCUGGUGUAAUCCACAGCACGGGAAAGAGGAGAAUGAAGAGCAGAGGAAUUCGUAAAAUGUUGACCUCCUCUGGGGCAAGCAGUGAACAGGCUUGUGGCGGACCCACACGGAGUUUGGACUUUGCAGAUAGGGACAAGGACUUUUCCUCUGCUGAAGAGCUAUAUUAUCUACCAUAAAGAAAAGCAUGCUGGUGUGAGAUAUUCUCAUUAGCCCGUUCUGCUUAGCAGGUGUGCUGCUGCCAGCUGUGCCAGCUGCAGCUUAGUGGUGGCCCUCAGAGUCAAGCCAAGGUACAGUCAAGGUACAGCACAGCAGCAAUCAGCUCUUUUGUGAUAGGAACACAGUCCUUCAGAUAAUCACCCAUAAAGUUCACUGUAUGUAAACAUUUUGACUGUUUUAACUGCUAUGCAGCACCCAAAAAUAGCGAAAAAGUAGCUGGAAACAAGGAUUCAAUAGGAAGUUGUAAAUAGUCUUAAAAUACCAGGAAAAUUAUGCUGGAUAAUUAACAGCAAAAGACAGCAUAUAGCAUCACUAGCUGUCAAAGAUGUAGAAAUUGUACUUCAGAAGUUUUUGUAGUGCCAAAAAAAGUGUAGCUGAAGAAAUGCAACUACAGAUUAUCUAAAAUCACAUUUGCAAGAACUGGAAAGUGAAUCUUCUUAGUGGCUUAUUGCUAUAUAUGUUGUUCCAUCAGUCACUUUACAUUAUUCCUCAUGUCAAGGUGUUAGUGUCAAAAAUUGCCUUUUACUCAUGCAUUCUUUUAGUAGGUAAGAAAGCUGAUUAACUUAUUUAGGAGGUAAUUACCUAGACAAGAAUUAAGAGUUAGACUGUCCCUGGAUCUUUCACAUAAGCUCAAAGGUAAAAAAAAAAAAGAGCAGCUGCCGUAGUUCUCUUGCCUCUGAGCAAUGGUUCAGUUCAGGAUAAGACCCUUAUGCCUUCAUGAGCAAAAUUUUUUAUCAGAUUAUGUUAAUACCAAAAAAGAU